GUUCAGAGGUCGGGUGAGGAAGUGACUCUGCAGCAGGUUAGUGGCUGGCAUGCUGGAGGGGGCUGGCUGGCCGGCUGAUCAGUAAUGAAGAGAACUGGGACAGACAGCUCCAGUGAUGAGGAGGGCACUGCUGCGGGCAGCCAGAAAACGAAGAGCCUUAUGUACACCUGGUGCGGAGGUGCGGCCCUGCCCCACCUCCAACCCGAUCGCAGGCCACGCCCAUGCUCCCCUGGACUACGCAGAGAACACCAGAGGAGCGGAACCCAUAACUUCUGCUGAGGCUGUCUGUCCGUCCUGUGUGAGCUUGCAUGGAAGGAGCACCGGUGGCUGGGACCCGGGAGCUGCAUAAGAGGAGAGUUGCCAGAUAGAAAACGGACUUGCUGGCACACAAGAAAGGAUGAAAAAGACACUGCCAAUGAACCUACUGAAUAGUGAACCUUGCUCUCUUGUCUAACCAUACAAAAACAAAAUCAAUUUUAAAAGGAGAAUUUGUGAUAGUUAAAUCUUUUUAUAAUCUCUUGUACAAAUACUGUACAGCAGUCAAAAAGAUUUGAUCCUGAAAAUAAGUAUUGAUAAAUCUAGUGCACCCACCUGCUCCAUAAUUGUAUUGGAUUGUAAAGAAGCAGUUACAUUUCAUGAUUUUGUGCAUGUCAGCCUUUAAGAAUGUAUUAAGUCAUAUUAUGAUAAAUGGAAAAAGAGGAUUUUGGUACUUACCAGGU